rnacentral:lncRNA from 1 species
GACAAUUCAGGUUCGUACGAAGUUCGUUAUGAAAUGAAGUGGUUGGUGUAUUACAUAGUUGUAGAGAUUGGAGUUCACUCAAAACCCACCAAAUGACUCCUCCGACCGUAUUAUGAUGAUCUCCAAGUUUUGGACUCAAUCCGAUAUCAAUUGGUCCAUGAAAUUGGACAUUUCAGGUUCGCACGAAGUUCAUUAUGAAAUGGAGUCGUUCGUGUAUUCCAUAGUUUUACCCAUUGGAUUUCACUCAACAGCCACCAAAUGACUCCACCCAC